rnacentral:lncRNA from 1 species
CCCGCAGCAUCAUCAUCAUCUCCCUGCCUCUGUUUAAAAGGCGAGGGUGGACCAGGGGCUUCUCCCACACUAUUGGCUCCCACGCCUGUCACUCAGGCAAGUGGGCGGGGCCACGCGUUGGCACACACCCACACACACCCAUACGCGCGCGCACACGCCCUGUGAAACUUUCUACAACAAAGGGUCGCGUGGAAAAGUUUGGCUGCUGUGCGCAAUGCUCGGGUAGCAGAGUCUGAGGAAUAAGAGAGUAACAGAGAGUAACAGAGAGUAACAGAGAGUAAUAGAGAGUAACAGAGAGUAAUAGAGUGUAACAGAGAGUAACAGAGAGUAACAGAGAGUAAAGCUGAAGGAAAAAAACCUGUGCUGAGAAAUUCCACGUUCAGAUCACCUUUAUUCACACCACAAUGAUGUCAUUCCUGUGGAUUCUGGUGUUUGGGAGCCUCAUUGCGCUGCAAGCAGGGAAAGUGGAAGCAGCAGAGGAUGAUGUAGCAGAUGCAGAAGACCCGCCCCCAGUUGAGGAAGGGGGCUCUGCCCCUGUUGAGGAAGAGGUAGCUGCCCCACCUGAGGUAGCUGCCCCGCCACCUGAAGAAGAGGAAGCUGCUUCCCCAGCUGAGGAAGAGGAAGCUGCCGCUCCAGCUGAGGAAGCUGCUUCUCCAGCUGAGGAAGAGGAAGCUGCCGCUCCAGCUGAGGAUGAAGAGGCUGAAGCAGAGCCAGCAGUAGGAGAGUCAGAUUCUGCUGUAGAUCCCACUGUUGCACCAGAGCCAGAGGAAGUACCUGAUCCUAUAGCUGCAGAAGAAGGUAAAUCAUGUGUAAAACUAUUUAUAAAAACAGUACAAAGCGUGUGUUUGCUGUAAUACAUAAUAUCGUAUAUUGGGUAAUGGACCCAAUG